rnacentral:rRNA from 1 species
UACGUAGGUGGCGUGCGUUGUCCGGAUUUACUGGGCGUAAAGGGAGCGUAGGCGGACUUUUAAGUGAGAUGUGAAAUACCCGGGCUCAACUUGGGUGCUGCAUUUCAAACUGGAAGUCUAGAGUGCAGGAGAGGAGAAUGGAAUUCCUAGUGUAGCGGUGAAAUGCGUAGAGAUUAGGAAGAACACCAGUAGCGAAGGCGAUUCUCUGGACUGUAACUGACGCUGAGGCUCGAAAGCGUGGGGAGCAAACAGGAUUAGAUACCCU